UUGUAGCCCCGAUAGUAGUGAAAAUCCUUUUGUCUCGUUUUUUAACGAGACAAAAGAUUGUAACGGAUAGCGGGAAUAGCU
rnacentral:sRNA from 1 species